AGUUGUUUACCAGGAGUCGACAGCGGAUGUAGACGCCAUCUUGUCAAGAAGUCAAGGGACAGGAUCAGCACUGUUGUGGCACCUGAGAGAUCAAGAAAAACUCGACUCAGGCUGGCGAGAUGGCUCGGCAGAUACACUUUUUGUUUAUGACCCCCCUCCUACCAUUCCUGGAAUGUCACUCUGGAGCAAUGGAGUCCUUCCCUUCAUUUCCUAUCCCAAAAGAUCAUAAAGUCACCCCAGGCCAUGGUGAGAAGACCCAGACACCAGGAUUAUCCUUUUCCAACAAGAAGGUCAAACCCAAGUUCGUGCAGCAAGCAUCUCUAUCUGGGAAACAUCUUCUUGGCCUAUGCAUAUCUUUCUUACAUCAUCAUACUUAUUAGUAUCCAUAGAUAUUGGUUAUUCCUUCAAGUCAGAAAUAAGACUAGGAUCCUCAGCCCUGAAGUUGUUUGUAAGCCUACAUUAUAAAUGGCCAUAAAAUCACCUCUG